CCUACGGGAGGCAGCAGUGAGGAAUAUUGGUCAAUGGACGCAAGUCUGAACCAGCCAUGCCGCGUGCAGGAAGACGGCUCUAUGAGUUGUAAACUGCUUUUGUACGAGGGUAAACGCAGAUACGCGUAUCUGUCUGAAAGUAUCGUACGAAUACGGAUCGGCUAACUCCGUGCCAGCAGCCGCGGUAAUACGGAGGAUUCAAGCGUUAUCCGGAUUUAUUGGGUUUAAAGGGUGCGUAGGCGGUCGGAUAAGUUAGAGGUGAAAUCCCGAGGCUCAACUUCGGAAUUGCAUCUGAUACUGUGCGGCUAGAGAGUAGUUGCGGUAGGCGGAAUGUAUGGUGUAGCGGUGAAAUGCUUAGAGAUCAUACAGAACACCGAUUGCGAAGGCAGCUUACCAAGCUACUACUGACGUUGAGGCACGAAAGCGUGGGGAGCAAACAGGAUUAGAUACCCUUGUAGUC
rnacentral:rRNA from 1 species